UACCCCAGUUUCAUUGCAUUAUCACAACCAAAGUACUUGUGAUGACUAGUUUAACCAUACAACUGUUGGUUUCCACCACUGUAAUCGUCAGUUUCUCAUUCUCCCAAGGGAACAGACAAGAAAGGGGACGCUCAAACUAUGCUGACAAGCAAUUCAAUAUCAAAGAGAUAAUCCGAUUUGGUGGGAAAAAAGUUGAGGUGAAAAGAGAGACAACCAAGAAUAAAGUCUCAGCAGACAAAGAUUUGUCAGAAUCUUUGCUGUCUCCACUGCUGGCAGAUGCCCACAGUGCUACUAGUUCGAAAAAUAUGGUGCCGUUGUCUGGCUUGAAGGGGUUGGUUAAAGCAAAAAACAACACAGGGACAGCCAUCGUUUGUGGACCAAAUGGUGCUCAUCUAAAUAUUUCAUGGGUACCAAAGGUGAUUGAUACAAACAAAUCCGUCAGGAUUUUCAUCGAUAUCACUAAUCCUAUUGACUUCAACUAUGGUCAAGUCCACUUAGAUGUCUAUAUUGAUGGUAGUCCAAACCCAAUUUUUUCAUUGGCUGCAGACUUCGCUUGCACUGAUAUCAAAAGUGUUGACCCCUUUACAUCAUGUCCAUUGAAAAAAGGAGAAAAACUUUCUGUUUCUCGUCAUUACCACAGUUUAGAAAAAAUACCUGGUGGAUAUUACGUUAUUGUGGCAAAAAUCGUUAGUUAUGAAGGAAACCAACACUAUCUGUUUGCCUGCUUGAACUUCACCUUACACGUCGUCUAAUCCAAACGUGAUUUCCAGUUCAUCAUCAGAAAUAUUUGGCCAAUUGUAGCUACACUGACAUAUUUUACUCACAUAUCAAAGAAGAAUAUUUUUAAAGAUUUUGCCGAUAUUGAUUCAACACUAUCAGGAUGCUUGUAUAAUAACAUUUUCCAAUAUCACAUAUUGUAGCAUUGCAAUUUUUAGACGACUUUGAAAUACUUUUCCUAAAUAUGUCCAUGAUAUGAUGUAUUUUGAACCCCUGGGGAUUCAAUUUUGAUGUGUGGGUAUGAAGAAUUUUGAUUUUAUACUUUAUCAGUAUAACAUAGUAUUACAUGUAUCAUGAAUUGUAUCAUUGCAAUUCUUAAGAGGAUGUUUUUAAAGAGUUUCCCUCUAUUUCUUAAGCAGUGAAAAACUUGUUCAAUUUACAAUUGACAAGGAAGCUUUGUCGAAAAUGAUGAUAGUUCUAAUGCAGUGGUUCUUGCAAAAAAGAUUCAUUCCGUAAGUAUGAUUUCUUUAAUGCGGAUGCGCGUUUAUCUUGUACAUGUAUAUCUGAGGAUAGAAAUGUAAACAUUUUCUGGACUGGCUUUUUUUUAGUCAGAAACUGAACAAAACUGUUGCCAAAAGAUUUUUCAAAGAGCAAUAUGAGGUUUUGCAUGUUGUUUUAUAUGCAAAUCAACCAUACAAGAACAGAACAACGCCAUCUUGAUAACUCAAAACAGCUGUUAGACUUAUUUGGAAGAUUUUAAAAUCUUAAAAAUAUGAAUGGGGUUUAUUGGUGUCCUUUCUACGACCUUUUGUUAAGAAAAAGGCUGAACCUUGCACAUGAAAACUUUUCUUUGCCUCAAAAUAGGGUACCAUUUUGUUAACAUUCGGCAUGUUUUAGAACAAUAAAAAAAACAGUCUAUACUUAGAACUCCUGUGUCUAUGGAGGCACAUUGACGUUAAAUUUCCUUUAAAAAAUAAAAUGUCAAUUUAAAACAAUCUGUAUUAAUUAUGACAGAAAUCUCUAUACCAGUCCCAAGUUUUUAUCAAUUCAGUUAUAAAGGUAAAUUCUUUGUAAAAGUGGGAUAUGGGUCCAAAAAAUGUCUUUAAUAAAAAAUAUCUCAAAUUAUUUCUUAUUUUUAGGUCUUGAAGUUUAGCUGCGCAGUUAUAGAUGAUUAAAAAUGCGUUGUUUUGUUCUUGUAAGCAUAACUUUCAUACGAAACAAUUUGUAAAACGCCAUAUUGUCUUUCUUUUUUAUCUUUUGAUAAAAGUUUUGGACAUUUUGGACAGAAACAGACCAGUUUAAGAAACGUUUACAUUUUUUAUUCUCAAAUGUACAAGGUGGUCGUCAAUAGGAUAUGCCCGAGUGGUAGAGAAGAGGUUAAACAUGUAAAAGUUUACAGACGGACAGACGACGGACACAUUGACUCAAUUUAGGCCGUGAGACCAAUCAUAUAACUCUGAGAGUUAAUAAUUGAAAAAGUUGACGUAUCUUUUUUUUUGCCUUUUUGCAAAAGAAAUAACGUAGAGGAAGAGCAUUGCUAGAAUUUAUACAAAUAAUGUUGUAUGAAGUUUAAGGUUAAAGACAUGCCCCAGUUCUUUGAAUUAAGCGAACACUGGACUUUGAUGUUCCUUCUGAAACAAAUAUAUACUAGAACUAAAACAAAUCGCAGAUGCAACACUGGUCAGCUGCAAUACCACUGGCAAAUAUAGAAUGAAGUGGCCCCUUUUGUGAUAUUAAAAACCUGUGAA
rnacentral:misc_RNA from 1 species